rnacentral:rRNA from 1 species
GACGUAGGGCGCGAGCGUUGUCCGGAUUUAUUGGGCGUAAAGAGCUCGUAGGCGGUCUGUCGCGUCGGAUGUGAAAACCCAGGGCUCAACCCUGGGCCUGCAUUCGAUACGGGCAGACUAGAGUUCGGUAGGGGAGACUGGAAUUCCUGGUGUAGCGGUGAAAUGCGCAGAUAUCAGGAGGAACACCGGUGGCGAAGGCAGCUCGCUGGGACGGUACUGACGCUGAGGCGCGAAAGCGUGGGGAGCAAACAGG